rnacentral:lncRNA from 1 species
UUGAGAAGUGACCAAAACUUGUGGGCCGUAUCGUCGACCCUUCCUCAGAUUAAAUUUGAAGAACACAAAUAGAGUCGACGGUUACAAAAUCACUGUGCAUCCCUUGGCUCAACUGGUGACUACCUAGAGAGAAAACUAGGAGUUCUAAAACAAGAAACCUAAACAAAUGGCAACCAAGAGAUACUAUACUAACCAGCCCUCUCCUCUAUUUAUAGCGGGUUAUUUCUAUUUUCCUAAACUGCCCUUAUUUACAGAGUCUAUCCACUCCGCUAGGGAAAAAUAGUCCAACUCCUAGGUUUUUGAUCCGGCAGCCACAUGCUCCACACAAAGUUGCUUCGCCUUGACGCACUCUUCACUGUGACACCAUGUGUCACCACCGGUUCCCUUUGGAAUCGCCAACGCCGAGUUUUGAGGCCCAAACUCGGCAAAACCCGCCAUCCGUAGCGCACGGUGGUUUUGAGGCUCAACCACCAAACCGUCGUGAAUAUCGCACCACGUGCUCAUUCUCCACAACUAGGCUCGUGUCCCGCUAGUCCUCGAUCACGCCGACAACUCGAUCCACUCCACCAUGUCCUCGCGUGAGUGUGUGUCCUAGGUGUCAGCCACCAUGGCUGGUCACCUAGUUGCUCCGGUUCAUUAGCCAAGACCCAGCACUCGUCCUUCACCGCUCCCGAUCCAUUAGCAUGAGCCCGUAUGACCUUCACCUCAACCGUCGACCAUCGUCUCUGUGCUCCACACCUGCACACCACAAGCCGACCGACAUGGUUGCAUAUACAUAAUCUCACACUCUGGUUAGUCCACUUACUACCCCAGAGUGCUACCCCAUUGACAAUCACUCAUUAUCAACCCGAACCACAAGAGACAAGUCAACCUUAUGUUCGCAUGUAAAUCGUUAGGGGACCCAGGCCUAGGUUAGGUAGGCCAUGAGUGAGCCACAUGUCUAUGGCUUCGUAGGUCAUGGUUGGAGCUCUUGGCUUGGGUCCACAUGUCAAGAGUAGAAGGAGGACUGGCCUUUAGCCGCGGCUCGGUGCCAGACGUAUCAUUUAUGAUAGGGGCAGUCCUAGGCCAAGUGCGGAAUCCACUUGAGUGGCUUCCUCUCGGUUCACUCAACUCCCUUUGGGCUCUGUCUUGCCCAACCACCUGGUUCAGUGCCUCGGGGUUACUCGAGGCGGGUCCUUCCAAGGCAGACUCUUCCUCCGUCCUUCCCUGGCUCGUGCCCAGAAGCCCAGGGAUCUGAUCCCCAACAGUUAUAGGGUGACACUGACGUUAAAGGUCGAAGCUUUAUGGUAGAUAUGAACUAACAAUGAUUGAUGGUUGAUAUGGAGAUAUAUAUUGUCCGUAAUUGUACGAACCAUCUUAAGGCGCUCUCCAACAAUCCCCUAGACAUCGCCCCCAACGAUGCCCCUUUGGUGCCCUCUCCACGGGACGAGAGAAUAAAUCCCCCUCACGUGAGAGGGAGCUCUAAUCUCCUGCCUUUUUGUUAAUCUGUAUUUUAACUGUGAAAUUAAUCCCUUUCUAGUAUAAUUACUUGAUAACAAUGUGUAUUAUGGUACUACAAAUAUGGUAGUAUUUUUAAAAACUCCAAAAACAGAUGUAAAAAAUUCAAAUGGCUCAGUUAAAGAGUAAAGGGGGAGCUGAAUAGGGGGAUGAUAGUUGAAGGGGGUAUUUAAAUAUGAAUAGAAAUCAUGAAUGUGGGGUGUGGAGGGGAAUGGGUUGAGAGAGUCUAAGGCGCCUCUAUCACAAGGUGUCUUAGUUUCCAAAAGAGAGGAGCAUAUUGCAACCAGUGUCCUCGCACUGGUCGGUGUGACUUCGAGUGCGGGAUGACAAGGGAGAGGCGAGCCGUGAUGAUUUGAGCAGAGGCGACGGUUCUGCGCAUGCUACCCAAGACAGGAUCAAGACAAAAUUUUGAGAACUUGGAGACAGUUUAGAGCAAGUAUAAUAAGAGACUAUAAGUUGGCUAAAUGUUGAUGUGGAGGAGAGAGAAGAGAAGAGAGAGAGGAGAAACGAGUUGUAAACUUGUAGUCAGCUUUGGCACAAGAACCAAGAAGCUUUGUAAGAGAGAUAAGUGGGGCAUGCAUUAAUACUGAAGAGAUAACCACCAUACGGAUGGGGCUAAAUGGCAGGCUUCAUGGAUCCUUAUGGCUAACAGUUGGCUCUAUUAUUAUACUUGCUCUUAUAGGAUUGUCGACACUGGCAUCACCUGUUGUUGAUUUAGACACGUAUCUAAUGCUUGAAUUUAACAUUGGCAUCACCUACUGUUGAUUUAGACACGUAUCUAAUGCUUGAAUUUAUUGUCUUUCGUCACUGCAUUGGAAAUGGAUUAGACAUCUCUCACCUACUUGUGUCACAAGCGCAGGAGCGAAUCGAGGCUGCAUAUAAAUACUCUUCUUGUUCUAAUUUAUAAUUUCUUUAACUUUUUUACUCCAAAUUUUAUGGACUCAUCUUAUUCAAAUAUUUUCAUUAUUAUUAUUGAUUUUUACUGUAAUAUUGUUUAGCAUAUAAUAUACUUUAAGUAUGUCUCUGAAUUUUCCAUUUUUCGGCAAAAUAAAAUAACACAAGUCGAACGAACUUGGUAAAAAAAGUCAAAUAAAUUAUAAUUAGGUGGGAGGGAGUAGUUAUUACUUGGGUUCCAAUUCAAAUACCUUUCAAGUGUUGUCGCGUGUAUAUGUGGUGAGUCAACUGCUAACGUUGUUUAGUACCUAGUGGACUAGUGGUGUUUUUACUCUUUUAUGGGGAAUUUGAAGGGCUGUUUGGUUCGUGACUAAUUGUGCUACAUUUUAUCUAAGGUUAUUAAUCCAAAUUAAAAAAUUUACCUUAACCAUAAAAAAUAAAUAAAAUAUGACAAAUUAGACAGCGAACUAAACAUGUUAAUUUCUUUUCUCAUCGUGGAAACUGCAGGCGCGGAGAACCAAGCAAGGCCUGGCGUUAUUGUCGUUUCAACGGUGGAGGACACCGACCACUCUCAUGUGGUCUGAAGACGGAAGACCGGUCCAGUCCUGACAGCGGUCAUUUCAGCCGGCGGUGAGUAGGUCCGAAUUUUUUUGCAUUUUGGUCCUUCGUCAGAAAAAAAUUCACGUUUAGACUCUAGAAAAUUUUAAUGUCACUUUUGGAUCCUUUACUCGGCGCCGUAGCAUGUAGCGCCGAGGUAACACAGCUCGGCGCCAUAGGCUAUGGCGCCGUGGUACGUGCCGCGUUGGCAUAAACGGACGUCGUGGCGCCGACGUGGUACCGAGCUCGGCGCCAUAAAUCUUGACGCCGAGCUCCGUUCUGUACAGAAAACUUGUCUAGCUCAAUUGGUAAAAUUAAGGCUUUUAAACUUGUGGUCGUGGGUUCGAGCCCCACGGUGGGUGUUUUUUAAUACUUUUUGUCUUUGUCACUUAUUUAUUUUUUUUGUUGUCCAUAUUUUUCGUUUAUGUCGCUAAUUUGUCCGUCCUGAUUUAUUUCUCAUCCAGUUUUUUUGUGACUGAUUUGUUUAUUCGUCCAGAUUUUUUUUAUCCAGUGAGCACAGCAGCUGUAUAUGCAGUAAAUUCUAAAAUAUAUCAUUCAUUAGACAAGUAUAUAAUGGAGUAUACUUUUAUUUAGUGCAGAAGAAAAAAAGAUGAAUACGUGUGCUUCUUUUUACUGGGAAUAUGUUAUUAUGGAUUUAAAAUUUAUGUUCAAAAGAACUCAAUGAAAAUAUAAUAUUUUUAUUUGAUCACGAUUGAAGUAAGAGUGUUCUCAUUUGAUUUUUAUUGUGUUUAGCUGAGCAAACAAGGGGAGAAGUUGACGGCUUGUGAGCACUGUGGCACACAGCUGCUGUGCUCGCCGGAUUAAAAAAAUCUGGACGAAUAAACAAAUCAGUCACAAAAAUAAAACUGGAUGAAAAAUAAAUCAGGACAGACAAAUCAACGAUAUAAAUGAAAAAUAUGGACAACAAAAAAAACAAAUAAGUGACAAAGACAAAAAAAGUAUUAAAAACGACCACCGUGGGGUUGUAUUUUACCAAAUGAGCUAGACAAGUUUUCUAUAUAGAAUAGAGCUCGGCGCCAAGAUCUAUGGCGCCGAGCUCGGUACCACGUCGGCGCCACGACAUCCGUUUGUGCCAACGCAGCACGUACCUCGGCGCAAUAGCCUAUGGCGCCGAGCUGUGUUACCUCGGCGCCACAGGCUACGGCGCCGAGUAAAGGGUCCAAAAAUGACAUUAAAAUUUUCUAAGGUCCAAACGUGAUUUUUUUUCCGAUGAAGGACCAGAAUGCAAAAAAUUCGGGUGAGUAGGUCUGUCAAUCCAUAGGUUCGGUCACUAUUGAUCGCACGUAGGGCGUUUGAUGGACCGGGCCCAUCGGAAACGACUGCCGUUUAUGAGGUAACGUGUUUUAGUUGUUUCACGUGUGCGCGUCAUGUUAGCUACAUAUACCGUUUAAUGUCCUAAAUAUUCUAAAAAUAUAAAAUUAUUUAUGAAUAAUAGAUUUUUUACGGAGUGUUAGCUUCAUAGUUUUAUCACAUCGGAUAUUUAAAUAUCUAUUACGAGUAUUAAAUAUAGUUUAAUUAUAUACAUAACUAAUUAUAUGGUUGAAUCCUAAACGAUAAGAAAAAUAUGAAGCAUAAUUAAUUCAUGGCUAACAAAUAUUUAUUGUAGUAUCAUAUGAACAAAUCAUGAACUAAUUAGUUUUAAUAGAUUUGUCUUAUCGGUUAGCCAUCAUCUGCGCAAUUAGUUUGGUAACUAUAUUUUACAUUUCUAACUAGUAUCUAAAACUCCAACAUGAUAGGGAUUAAUGUUUAGUCAGGGGAACCAAACAUGGCCUUAGUUUCAGGAAUAAGUACUUUUUAUAUUUUAUGACUUAUGUAAAUUUUAUCAUGUUUUAUGUAUUUUUUAUUUAUCUUGUAUGUAUUAUGUAAUUGGAUGCAUUUUUAUUUAAAUAAAACAAUGUGUUUUGAAUAAUAAAAACUUAUAAAAGAAAAACCGAUAUGACACUGAGGUGACUAUAAAUUGAUGAUAAAGGAAGCUAGUAGAUAAGGAUUGACGAUGGAUGACAAUAAAAUUGAUAAUACAAUUGCUAGUAGAUGUGAUGCGGCGUGGCAAUAGAUAUAGAUAGGUACGGAAUAAAUCUUAGGGUUGGUUUAGUGACCAGGAAAUUGAAGAGGAUUCCUCUCCAUAAAUCUUCUCCAAUUCUCUGGUCACCAAAUCAACCAUUAAGGUGGUCUAGGGCUUGAGAAAAAAAUAUGAAGAGAGAGGAGCAUAUCUAAUGUAUAUGUGCAAUGUUUUUAUCUCAGAGCUUGUUCCAAAUAAUGUCUCAGAUUCGAAGCUAAUGUUUGACUUGUCCUUUGCAAGCAUAAACGAUUAACAGUAUAUUGGGAUCAUUAAUAUUAAUAUUUUUCUUACAUUAUAGUAUCUUUAUGUGUUCUCGUUAAAGAAAAUGGCUAUUAUUGGUAAACAUAAGGCAACCCAUGCUUCCAAUUAUCAAUUCACCAUAAAAAAAAGUUGGUAUAUGUUAGUUCUGAAAAGUCACAGGCAAGAAUAUGAUGGUUGUUUACUUGUUACCAGAUUUUCCGAUGUCUACUCGGGCAUUAUUUGGCUGCUCGCUGAGAUGUUUACUUCUUGUGAACGUACUAGUGUGUAUAGGGUGGUCUAGUACGCUUGAAAGGUAGAAUACUUGCAGGUCUAGAAUGGAAACGGAUGUCAUGUUGCUGUAGUUGCAUUAUUGUCAACAAGCUAAGCUAGGCUGUUUCGCUUGCAUCACUGCAACUAGCUAGCUUAACAGCAUGGUCACAUCGUGCAUCUAGAUGUAGGAAUGAAAUAACCAAUCCGGAUCGUUUUUUUUUUGGGUUCAUGGCCGGACUCAUGGAAACAAGUUGUGUCCAAUGCACUUGCUUGCGGAAGAAUCAUAUGAGAGGAUAGGUAGCGUAGAAAACUCUCAAGUAUAUUAUUUCAAUAGUUAGUUUUAGAUCCUGUUUGUAUCUAGAUUAUUAUAAGAAACAGUAGAAAAAGAACAACCUAUACUGGUUGCUAACCAACUACAGUAACGAAUUCUCAAUCAGUACUUCGCAUCGAGGACUAAAGGCAUCAAUAUUUAGUCCUGGUUAAAUGAACCGAUACUAAAAUAAACAUGGCCAUUUUAUUAUAUGUAUACUUACAUUAAAAUUAAAAUGAAUGUAUAUAUAUAUAUAUAUAUGCAACAAAAACCAGUGUCGUUUGUAUGCCAUAAAAAUCUUAAGAACUACAGACCUAACUUCCUGUAAAAUAUCAGAGUCAAAAUUAACAGGAAAUCAGAGAGGUAGUGUCGGCCUCAAGUUCGGUAGUGCUGGGUCCAGAAGUGCCGAGCACACGGGCGGCAGUGCCGGGCACCGAAAAAUGCCCAGAAUGAUCUCAAACUUCACAUAUAGUUUGCGCGGGGUAGAAGACGGUUACUAGUGAACAAACCAAAAAUCAAAGCUUAGAUCAGAAAAUCCGAGAGAGAUGGGGUUUUCUCAAAACGAGCCUAAAUGAGAAUCAACUCGGGUCAUGACCAAGAACUGCACUGUGAGGGUGUACGCAGUAAUCCAAAGAGUCUAUAUCCACCCAAAUCAAUCCCCAACAAUACUCAUGUCGCAAAAACUCGAAGGUUCUCCACAAAUCCACAAGAGAAGAGGAAAGGAUAAAACAAAACUUCAGAAUUUAGCAAUUAUCAAAAAUUGAGAUUGAGAAGUGAACAAAACAUGUGGGUCGUACCGGCGACCCUUCCUCGAAUUAUACAUGAAGAACAAAAACCAAGUCGACGGUUACAAAAUUGACGCGGAUCCCUUGGUUAAACUGGUGACUACCGAGACAGAAAACUAGGAGUACUAAAAUAAGAAGCCUAAAGAAAUGGCAGCCAUAAGAUGCUUGACUAACAAGCCUGUCCCUCUAUUUAUAGAGGGUUAUUUGUAUUUUGUAAACUACCCCUAUUUAUAUGGAGUCUAUUGACUCCGCUAGGGGAGAAAUAGACCAACUCAUAGGUUUUCGAUUUGAUGGCCACAUGCUCCACACGAACUUGCUUCGCCUUGACAAACCCUUAGCUGUGAUGCCACGUGCCGCCACCGGAUCCCUCCAGAACCGCCGCCAUCGAGUUUUGAGGCCCAAACUUAGCAAAACCCAACAUCCGUAACGCAGGAUGGUGUUGAGGCUCAACCACCAAACCGUCAUGAGUAUCACAGCACCACAUGUGCGUCCUCCAUGACCAGACAUGUGUCCUGCCAGUCCUCGAUCGCGCCAACAGGAUGGUCCACUCCACCAUAUCCUUACGCGAGUGCAUGUCCCAGGUGUCAACCACCAUGGAUGGUCACCCAUCUACUCCAAUUCGUCAGCCAAGAUCCAACACUCGUCCUUCAUCGCUCCCGGUCCAUCAGCACGAGACCGCAUGACCUUCACCUCAGCCGUCGAUUACUGUCCCUGUUCUCCACACCUAGACAGCACAAGCCGACCGACAUGGUUGCACAUACAUAAUCUCACACUCGGGUCAGUCCACUGAGUACCCAAGAGUGCUACCCGUUAAGACAAUCACUCAUUAUCAACCCAAACCACAAGGGACAACUCAAUCUUGUGUUCGCAAUCUCCCAUUUGAUGAGUGCAAUGUCAACACCACCACAUGAACAUAUAUAAGCAGAAAGAGGAAGAAGAAGAAGAAGAGAAACUCACUCAAAUGACCAAAAGCCAGAAAAUGGCCAAACAAGUCAUCCAAAGUAAGCAAAACUUGGUCUCCAAAGAAAUGGGCAACGACUCAACACGACCAAGUAUAAAACGGUUUGUCCUCACAAAGAGGAAAAAGUAGGGCUCAACACCACUAGCCAGCCAACAAAACAAAAUCAGCACAAAAGCUGAAAUCAAAGCUAGUUCCUCCAGAAAGAGGCAAGUGGCUCAACACAUCUAGCAAAAGCUCCAAAAUCCAAUGUCUCUCCCCCUGAGAAUCUCUCCCCUUGCGAAAGUAGUCUCCCAAAGCAAAAAUCUCUCCCCUUUGUUAGGAGGCAAAAAAUCUCAAAGUCUCUCCCCCAUAUUGACAAGUGAACUCAUCAAGCACAAACAAGGGUAAAACAGAAACUCCCCGUGAGAAAAUGCAGAAAUGCAAAAGAAAGGAGAAUAUGCACGAGCUUCAAAAGUAUACCAAUCAGUGUAAAAAUGCUCUAAGUGGUGUUGUGCUAUGUGUGCAGCAAUAAAUUCACAUGCCAUCAAAUGUUCAAACUGACUAUAUGCACAAGAUAUAUUAAGUGUAAGCAAUUUGAUUUAGUUUUAAACAGUUCAAAAGAGAAGUUCACUACUAAAGACAGCACUAGGCAUAUAGUAAGAAGGAAAUCAACUAAUUGCCAGUCAAGGUAAACCAGGUGAAGUACCCCCAAACAGUGGCCACUCAUCAUGUUAGAAACAUACCUGAAAAUGAUACUAGAUGAUAAUCUCAAUAUUUAUCGGAUUUUGCAGUGGAUUACAAGUUUUAAGGAAAGAAUGUGAGUACGAGAGGUUAUAAGCAUUGUCAUUGUCUAACUUUUCAAUCGGGUGUAGCGUAUGCAGAAAAGAAAUCAGAAGCUAAAGACACCGGUUUGAUCAUCCACUACCGUGCUCAAGUUCAUCUAAAGGUGCAAAUGGAAGCAGUUUCUAUAAAGAGAGGUGGAGACAAAUGCAAACCUAUCUCAAUCUUUCUGAAUUUUUCACUUAUUUUGAUUUUGAUUUUAAGAACAUAACUUAUGAUUCAAGACAAUGAAUGACUCAGAGCAUGAGACAUAGCCAUCUAGCAUACUAGUGGGAGCACAAAGGAUUUCAGACACAUCCUAUAUACUCUAGGUGCCAUUCUCAAAUGGUGAACAUGUUUUGGAUUCAGCAAGUAAUAGUCAAGUUCACAAUUAUGAAAAAACAAGCUUAUCAAAACCUCUUGAUCAGCCUUGCUCACGGUCAUGAGCGGCUCGAACCCUCACAUGAGUAACUUAUGGAAUUAAAUUUAAUUAGUUAUUUGCAUCACAUUGUGGUUUAUUUAUUAAUUAUGAUAUCUCAUUAUUUGGGUUGGUAUUUACUUAUACUUAGUAAUUGCUAAUAAAAUUUGACCAACUUAUUAAAAGCAAUGCUCAGCUUUAACCAUUAUUUAUUGAUCAGCCUUACACUGCACAUGAACUCCCACCUUUGGUGAGUUCAUGCACAUUAUUCCCCAUAACUUGUUGAGCUAUGAUCUUUUGUGAGCUCACUCUUGCGAUUAUAAACCGCUCCACAGGUGAAGAGCAAGUAGCCAGGAGGAGGACUACUACGUGGAGUACGAGGAAGUCUAGGUGGCGUCUCCCAGUCAACUUGAUGGCGCCAAUGAAUAAUUAUUAGUUUGCUUUAUUGUUAUCAUUUAUUUUUGUAAGACACUUCCGCUAUGUAAUAAUGUUUAUGACAUUUAUCUCCAUACACUUGGUCAUUAGAUGUGUUGUUGUUCUUUGACGCACAUAUGAGAUGCACCCGACUUUAUCCCUUAAAUCUGGGUGUGACAAUAGUUUUAACCUUUGUUUCCCAACAAAAUAAAGUUAUUAGAUGAUAAACAAUAUUAAUAUAAAUUUAAUGCAACUGGAAUGGAUCAAAAAUGUGUUAGAAUGAAUUAAAUAUGAAUUAAACAAGCUCCUGGAAUUAUUUCUAUACUAAAAAUCAUUUUUUGGUUUAUUUUUGAAUAUCUCUACUGACUCUGGACUGUGUACACAAUUACUAGAUAGUAUAGGGGUUAAUUCAUAAAUUCCUAGGGCACAAAUGGAAUUACUUUGCACUGUGGGUUCAUUUCUGUUAAGUUCGGGGGUUUAUUUGUAAAAGUCAAAUGGCGAAAGGGUAUCACGAGAUCUAGGCCGCCCGAUCUGAAUUCUGGGAUCCAGAUUAGAUCGGCCUAACCCUUAUGAAGCUUACAUCGAGGGCCAUCGAUCCCCAGAUCGACGGUGGAGGCUAGGGUUUCAGGUAGUCCGGCUUAUCGACAGGCGAUGGUCGCGAUCGUCUCAACGAAACGGUAUGCCCAGGCACCAACCAGGGUCGAUGGAUCCGCGACCCACGGUCCAGAUUUUAUGAACCCAUGAUCUAAUAUGUGCUAUUGAUUACACGAUCCAACGGGCAGCGAGCGCCGCAGCUCCUCUCGCUUCUCAGCGACGACCGUGACGGCGACGCCACUCCCCUUCACGACGGAUCUCGCCGGAGGCACCCGGUUUCCAACCCCCAAUGCCCUAAAUAUCGAUUGAAACACUUCUACACGACGUAGGGCACACGCUGCGAGUAUGCAGGGGGUAACGUACCGAUGAUUCAGGCAGCCAGAGGUUGCUCCACGACGGACGGUGGAUCUGCGACGGAGGUGAUAAUCCUGGCGACGAAUUCCGCGCACUCCAGCCGAUAAUCACUCACAGCACGCUAACGUCGACCCUCCCAGACUUCUUGUAGUGCACUCUAGAUGGUCACGAAGGCUUCAUCGGCGGCGGGUGAUUGAGCCCGCGGCGGCGGCAAAACUCCCUCCCCCUGAUCUCUCUCCCCACGGCGCGAUGUUCUCGGUGGUGUGAAAUCGAUGAGGGUUGUUGCGCGGGGUCUGGAGCACAGGCCGACCAGCUGGCCCGCGCCGAGCGCGGGUGGUUUCAACUACCCGCCCGUGGCGAUAUCACGGGGAAGGGGAUACACAUGU